rnacentral:rRNA from 1 species
CAGUAGCCGCGGUAAUACGGAGGGAGCUAGCGUUGUUCGGAAUUACUGGGCGUAAAGCGCGCGUAGGCGGUUACUCAAGUCAGAGGUGAAAGCCCGGGGCUCAACCCCGGAACUGCCUUUGAAACUAGGUGACUAGAAUCUUGGAGAGGUCAGUGGAAUUCCGAGUGUAGAGGUGAAAUUCGUAGAUAUUCGGAAGAACACCAGUUGCGAAGGCGACUGACUGGACAAGUAUUGACGCUGAGGUGCGAAAGCGUGGGGAGCAAACAGGAUUAGAUACCCCAGUAGUCCCUGUCUCUUAUAC